GGGAUUAGGGUUCGAUUCCGGAGAGGGAGCCUGAUAAACGGCUACCACUUCUACGGAAGGCAGCAGGCGCGAAAAUUAUCCAAUCCUGAUUCAGGGAGGUAGUGAAAGAAAUAAUGAACUAGGAUUUAUCCUGGGAUCACAAUGGGCUUGAUUUGCAAACACUUAGCGAGGAACAAUUGGAGGGCAAGUCUGGUGCCAGCAGCCGCGGUAAUUCCAGCUCCAAUAGAGUAUAUAAACGUUCCUGCAGUUAUUCGAUGCUCGUAGUUGGAUUUUCUGAGGUUGAGACGGGAGGGUGGCUAUGGCCAUCGCCCGACUCUUUCCUCAUCCACCUGUUUGCGAAGUCCGGGAUUGAUUUCUUCGGCUUCGGGCGCAGUAUCUUACCAUUUCAAUAUUCGUAGUCUUCAUCGAUUAUGUUGUUUCUUUUGUAGCAAAAUUAUAGUGUUUCUAGGCAGGCGUGCGCCGGAAUACAUUAGCAUGGUAUAAACGAAUUAGGACCGUGUGCCGUAACUGGGCUUCGUCCUUAUUG
rnacentral:rRNA from 1 species